UACGGGGGGGGUAAGCGUUGUUCGGAAUUACUGGGCGUAAAGGGCUCGUAGGCGGCCAACUAAGUCAUACGUGAAAUCCCUCAGCUUAACUGGGGAACUGCGUGUGAUACUGGAUGGCUUGGAUUUGGGAGAGGGAUGCGGAAUUCCAGGUGUAGCGGUGAAAUGCGUAGAUAUCAAGAGGAACACCUGAGGUGAAGACGGGUUGCUGGGCCAACACUGACGCUGAGGCGCGAAAGCCAGGGGAGCAAACGGG
rnacentral:rRNA from 1 species